AUUCAAUUUUAAUUAUAGUUAUCGACAACGGAUGCGCUGGUAAACACCCUUUUAUAGAAAUUUUGCAAUAUAGAAAUAACAUUGAUUAAUUUAUUCACUGUCUUGCAUGGUGCCCAUCGGCCAUACUAACCCACAUGUGAAAGUUCCUCUAAGCAGGACCAAGACCUUGUGCAGUUGUGCAAUGACUAAUUUUGCCUACCAUAAAAUUCGAGAGGAUAUAUUUGACGACGAAGAGUUUGGCUAAUUGUAGAUUUUUACUACAAAUAUUUUUUUUAUAAAAAUCUACAGAAUUUCUUCAACAAUCGAUACUGUUUGAUUAUUCUCGCGUAAAGUACCAUCUCGUACAAUUUCUUACAAAAAAAUUGUUACCGCACGUGUGCAUUCCAAAAUUUUAACGAGCAUUAAAAUUUUGCAAUGUACGUGAUAAACAAAUUUGCAUGUGGCCACUAACUAUUAGCCCACCGCUGAAUAAAAAUCUACAGGUUACUUCAAGGAUCAAGGCUGUUUUGAAUUUUUGAUGGUUGUUCGCGUGUAAAAUACCCAAUAUCACCUUUUCCGCUGUCUUUCAAAAGUUUUGCUGUAGAGAAAAUGUGUCCAAUCAGCUUAAUUGAUCGUACGAGCAUUAAAUUUUCGUACUAUACGUAAUAAAUAGAUUUGCAUGUGGUCUCUGGCUAUUAGGCUACCCGUACGUGAUUGUAUGUUGCCAGAAUGAUCAAGACUUUUUGCUACAACUAAUGCAUCAUACUCCAAUAUACAGGAAGUCUUCGGCGACCAAGACUUUCGCUCGCUAAAUAUAGUCAAGGAAAAUUAUUAUUUUAUCACUUAAUUUUUUUUAUAUAUUAUUUUAUUGUGAAAAUUUUUUACAAUUAUUUUUUUUUAUUUUACUACCAAAUCUUAAAUUUAUUAAAAAUUUAGUGAUGUCACAUUAUUUUCUUAGAAGUUUAGCUAUAUUACAACUGUGGUAUUAUAUUACAAUUUUUAUCAUUUUUCAUCAGAGUCCGUUGGAUGCUUUCUUCUUCAAUCUAAGGGCUGAAAUUAAUUAUUGGGUAUUUGAUGCAAUGAUUGACAACCAUUACAGCCGGUCCCGUCAUCUUCAAUCUUAAGCUUCACUUCCUCUUUCUUGAGCCUUGGAAGAUUGGCCUGGAAUUCCUUUUUGUUCCAGAAAAUCUCUAGUGCUUGUUAUAAAUACCCAACACUUGCAUAUGAUCAAAGAACAAGAGCAAUACACAAUACACAGCAAUCAAUGGCGAUGAUUCCAAGUUUCUUGGAUAACUAAUGCAGCAGCAUUUUGGAUCCCUUCUCUUUCGAUGUUUGGGAACCCUCCAAGGACUUUUGUUCCCCUUCACUUUCCUCUCAAUUCCCCCAAGGAACCUAAACUAUUGUUAUCGCUCGCAUGGACUGGAUGGAAGCCUCAGAAGCUCACGUAUUCAAGGCUGAUCUUCUAGGGCUCAAGAAACAGAAAGUGAAGCUCAAGAUUGAAGAUGACGGGACCGGCUGCAACGGUUGUCAAUCAGUGCGUCAAUUACCUAAUAAUUAAUCUCAGCCGUUAGAUUGAAGAAGGAAGCAUCUAAUGGACCCUGUUGAAAAAAGAAAAAAAUUGUGGUAUGGUACCACGGUUGCAAUAUAGUUGGAUCCUAUUUUAAGAACUUCAGUAUAUAAAGCUAAAAUUAUUAUAAAAUUUAUAAUUUUAUCAAAAUAAUUAAUUGAUUAAAGUAUUACCUCCUUGUAUCUAAUUAACUUUUGUACUUUUAAUUUUAAGGAAUAAAUUGUAGUUACAUAAUUUAGGGAUAAAUAGAAUUUUCUAAAAAUUUUGUUAUUCUUAACGAUUUAAAUAUUUAAUAGUAAAAUAAUAAAAUUAAAAUAUUAAGUGAAAAAUAAUCUAUAUAUAUACUAAGAAUCAUCGUCUUCGGGAACAAAUGACCUAAAACAAACAAUUCAUGAUCUUUUUACUUGUUCUUAGGAUUCCAUAAAGAAACUAAAAUGGUAUGGUCGAAAUGGUCUUGUCAAUUCUUCUUUCUCCAGUUACUGAUUUUGCUUCCUGUCAGUUUGGAACUGGAACUGCACCUGAUUGAGGAAGAUUCUUCUUGCCAUUGCCCUAGAUAACCCAAAUCUCGCCGUUGAACAAUGUUACCACUUAAUUCAGGCCUCUUUCGUGCAAGGUCUCUCUCAUUCUCAAAAGAGUGGUCAUGACUCCAUACAAUAGUCUAUCCCCCACCAAAAGAAAAGGAAAAAAAAAAACUCCCGACAACAUGACCAAGACAUUCUACAACUAAUCUUUCAUAAAAAUCUACGAUAUUUCUUUGAUGAUCAAGGCUGUUUUGUUAAAGUGUCACUCAAUUUUAAUUAUAGUAAGCGACAAAGUUUGGGUUGACAAACGCUUUCUCACAAAAAUGUAGCUAUAUAAAAUAAAUGUCACUGACUUUUAUUUGAUGUUUUGCAUGGUGGCGAUAGGUUAUACUAACCCACCCGUGAUAGAGAAUGGUCAUAACUCCCAGCAACAAUUUUUUUCCCAAAAAAAAAAAAAUUCUCAACAACCUGACUAAGACAUUAUAGAUUUUUACUACAACUAAUUUUUCAUAAAAUUCUACAAGAUUUCUUUGAUGAUCAAGACUAUUUUGUUAAAGUGUCAUUCAAUUUUAAUUAUAGUUAGCGACAACAGAUGCGUUGGUAAACACCCUUUUAUAAAAAAUUUGCAAUAUAGAAAUAAUAUCGAUUAAUUUUACUCACUGUUUUGCAUGGUGGCCAUCAGCCAUACUAACCCACAUGGGAUAGUUCCUCCAAGCAGGACCAAGACCUUGUGCAGUUGUGCCAUGACUAAUUUUGCCUACCUUAAAAUUCGAGAGGAUAUCUUUGACGACGAAGAGUUUGGCUAAUUGUAGGUUUUUACUACGAAUAAUUUUUCAUAAAAAAUCUACAAAUAAUUCUCGCGUAAAGUACCAUCUCCUACAACUUUCUUACAAAAAUUUUGUUACAGCAUGUGUCCAUUCAAAAAUUUUAACGAGCAUUUAAACUUUUGCAAUGUACGUGAUAAACAAACUUGCUUGUGGCCACUAGCUAUUAGCCCACCCCUGAAUAAAAAUCUACAGGUUACUUCUGUCAAAAGCAGCCAGCCAUCUAGAUGGUUUGAAGCAGCCAUCUAGAUGGUCAGCAACAAGUUGUUCGAAGAAGAAGAAGAAGAAUUUGGCAGCAGCAAAUUUGGAAUGAAGAAAAUGGAAAAAGAAGAAAUUUGAAGAAGAAAAUGGGGAGCACGAUUUUGACAAGAAAAAGAAUAAUUAUUAUUUUAAUAGCCAAUUUUGGCUAUAAAAUGAGAGAGCUCCCAUUUUUGAUUUGUGCAUUUAAUUCCAUCGAGAGAGAAGUAUUGCUUUCUUGAGUGUUGAGAGUUUUAAGAGUUUAAUAAACUCUUGAGUGUCUAGUGAGUUAGAGAGUUUGGGUGUAUUGGGAUUUUGGAAAGUGAGCUAAAAUACUACAAUACUUGUAACUCCUUUUCACUAGUAAAUUAUUUCCUUCUGUCUUCGCCCGUGGAUGUAGGCUAAAAGCCGAACCACGUAAUUUCUAGUGUCCUCUAUUGUGCUUGUUCUUUAUUUUUCUUCUAAUUUUACUUUAGCUGCGUGUAUGCUUCACCGACCAAUUUCCUAACAGUGGUAUCAGAGCUAUUGGUUGUAUUUUUGGAGUCAGGAAUUGUUCACGUAUUCACGUAUACGGCGUACGGCACUAUUCACGUAUACGGCAUACGACACUAUUCACGUAUACGGCGUACAGCACUAUUCACGUAUACGGCGUACGGCACUAUUCACGUAUACGGUACUAUUCACGUGAAACGGUGGAAGCGAUCCAAAAAUUUUGCGGUGCAAAGCAGGGAAUAGUGGUGUGAGUAAAGCAACUGUGUGGUUCUGUACAUGUCUAGGAAAGUUCUGUCACAAAGGCGAUAAGAGCUUAAGGAGUCUGGGUUUUAAGUGGGACCAUUGUGACCCCUCCAGUCUUUCCUGGGAACUUUCCUGGUGUGCAUUCUCACACAUACUCACAACUAUUCAAGGUGGUACACUAGCUUGUGUACAGUAUUUAUCAAUAAAAUGGCGGCAAAGUAUGAAAUUGAGAAAUUUAACGGAAAUAAUUUUUCGUUGUGGAAAAUGAAGAUGAAAGCUGUAUUGAGGAAAAAUAAUUGCUUGUCAGCAAUUGGAGAAAGGCCCAUGGAGAUAACUGAUGAUAAGUGGAAUGAGGUAGACGGCAAUGCCAUUUCUGAUCUACACUUAGCACUUGCGGAUGGAGUAUUAUCCAGUGUGGCAGAGAAAAAUACGGCGAAGGAAAUAUGGGAUACUCUCACAAAAUUGUACGAGGCCAAGUCACUACACAACAAAAUCUUCUUGAAGAGAAAACUCUAUACUCUUCGAAUGGCAGAAUCUACAAUGGUGACCGACCACAUCAACACCUUGAAGACUCUAUUUUCACAACUCACAACGUUGGGUCAUAAUAUAGAGGAAAAUGAACGUGCAGAGCUUCUACUUCAAAGUCUACCAGAUUCGUAUGAUCAACUCAUCAUCAACCUGACGAACAACAAUCCAGUGGAGGGUCUAGUUUUCGACGAUGUUGCAGCCUUCGUAUUAAAUGAGGAGAGCAGGCGAAAAAACAAGGAAAACAGACAAGCAAGUUCGCAGCAAGCGGAGGCGCUAUCGGUGACGAGAGGAAGAUCAACAGAACGUGACCCCAGUGGGAGUCAAAAUCAUGGUAGAUCAAAAUCCAGAAGUAAGAAGAAUGUUAAAUGCUACAACUGUGGCAAGAAAGGGCAGGUCAAAAAGGAGUGUUGGAGUAACCAGAAGAAAAGAGAGGGCAAAGAACCUGAGUCAUCAAAUGCUCAGGGGUGUGUAGCAAGUACCUCGGAUGAUGGCGAAAUUCUCUACAGUGAGGCAACAACUGUUUCAGAAGGCAGAAAACGACUUUCUGAUGUCUGGCUUAUAGACUCGGGAGCUACCUGGCACAUGACCUUUAGGAGAGAAUGGUUCCACACAUAUGAACCUAUCUCAGGAGGAUCUGUAUAUAUGGGUAACGAUCAUGCCUUGGAGAUCGCUGGUAUUGGUACUAUCAAAAUAAAAAUGUUUGAUGGUACAAUUCGCACAAUUGGAGAGGUAAGACAUGUCAAUGGCCUGAAGAAAAAUCUAUUGUCUUUGGGACAAAUGGAUAGUCAUGGGUACAAAACUCAUGUGGAGAAUGGAAUAAUGAAGAUCGUUAAAUGCGCGCUUGUAUUGAUGAAGGCAGAAAAGAUUGGUGCUAAUUUAUUCAUGCUUAAAGGAGAAACACUACAGGAGGCUGAUGCGUGUGUCGCGUCAAAUGGAGAAGAAUCAACGAUGAUGUGGCAUCUCAAACUCGGCCACAUGUCAGAACAAGGCUUAAAGAUUCUCUCUGAGCGAAAAUUGCUUCCGGGGCUCAAAUCGGUAA
rnacentral:lncRNA from 1 species